UUAUAUAAAACAAUAAUUGUACUCUCUGUAUUUUAUGUUUGAUAGAUAUGACGUUUCAGACCUCAGCAGCAUAAGGAAAAAUCUUCUGUGGCCUCCCUUCUCUCACCUCCCACAUCACUGAUAAGCUGUUCCCACUUGGCUUUACCUCCUAGGAGAACCAGGGCAGAGGUCAAGCUCUGUGUGACGGUGUUAGGUUCCAGCCGCUUCUUCCUCCCAGUCCAGUCUUAAAUAAUUGUCGUUUGUGUUAAUUAUUCCAUGCAUCAAGGCUCUCCAACAUAAGUACCUCUAGGGAGCUGGCAAGGCACAAACACAUGUAAAGUUGGCCAAUUAAUAGAGAGAAUGGUAAGAACUAAGCAAAACUCGGUAGUUCACAGCCAACCA
rnacentral:lncRNA from 1 species